CACUGACCCCUCCCAGGGGAGGCUGCUCAGGACGCUGUGAGUGGAUCAAGUUUUCCCGGGGGAGCCGAGAUUCCCCCUCCAGGCCGGCAACGCCUCCACCUCCCCAAAACAGGCUCACAGCCCCUGCCUGUCAGUCACUCACUCACUCAUUCAUUCAUUCACUCAGCAAGUACCUAUUAGCACAUCCUGUGAGUUAAUAGGAUUGAGCGUGAACAACACAAAGCCCAGCUCCUGCUCUCCAGAGAUUUCGUGGGAGUGACAGACACCAGUUAAAAUGCCUGCCCCCCUUCCCAAGGCUCAAAAAGCCGAAGAACCACCUGCAGACUUCCCCCAGGGAGUGGAUGAAAUUGCUGAUUCCCGGACUCCAAGCCCAGCUUUUCUGAAUCAGAAGCUCCAAGGAGAGUCAGCAAGCUCAAUACUCAACAUCACCUCAGGUGACUCUGAGACCACUUGCUGCCUUCGGGGAAGACAAGCCUCGGUCCUCCUCAUUUCCUGGGACAGGGGAUUUCCUCCUGGAACCUUGACUAAGCCGGAGCUGGGAAAUCAGCAGGGAGGGGAGGCCCAGGUUCACCACCCGCUUGUGAGGAGGCAAGUGCCGACAAGUGCAGCCUCUGCUGGGCUCCAGCCCCUGGGCCUCAGGCCGAGGAUGGUGGCGGGUUGGGGGGGAGGAGCACGGUGCGCCUUCUCCCCAGUGCUGAGCCCUCCCAGCUGUGCUGUGCUGGGAACAGGCCAGACAUUUGUGAAACCCUGGGUUAGCCUGACCCACUGUCAUGAGGGCUGCCUGUGGAAGCUGGCGCGGGGAGGGGGGUGGGGGGCUGUUCCCAGAAGUGGGGAGAACUCUGGACUUCCCACUCCUGAGUGCUCCGGAUUGCAGCACAGCCUUAAGCAACAGCAGUGGCCUGGAAGGCUGCGUUGCAAAGAGAACAGAGGCCCCCAGCUCUCAUCUGAAGAGAAGCCAGGACUCUUGAGUGCUAAAACUGCAUGCCUUCCUCAUUAAUAACAUCACAGCUGCUGUUCGUAGUAAUAAUUAGGCCCAGCCUUAGAGAAAGGUGGAAAACCUAGCCUUCAAAGAAGAAACACACAGAAGGCGAGUUCAGUAUUUACAUUACACAAGAAAAUGUGUUUCCUCUCUUUCACCUCCCCUCCCCCAAGUCUUAAAUCUUUCCAUACAGAAAGCACUAUGUGGUGUCCAUAAUGUACAGGAUGAUGAAGGUUAUAGACAAGAAACAUAAAAUCCAUGAGGACCGGUCCUCCAGGAGGCCUGUGUGUGCACAACCACAGGGGGUGCUGUUCAGGAUAUGAUCUUUGUAGGUGGGGUCCCAUGGCAUUGUACGAUGGGGACUGUAGUGGUUAUGAGCUUUAGGGUACAUUAGCACCUGAUGCUUACCUGCCCGGUGCCUCCAGGUGAUGUCAACAAAGGUGGGAACCCUGUUCUGGGCACCGGGACCAAUGCUGGAGAGACCACUGCCAACAGGGAGCAUUCAGACUUCAAGAAGCAUACAUAUAGUCUGAAAGGGGAACCAGACGUGAAAACCAAGAAGUAUCCUAAAAAGGAAUAGGUAUAAAAAUGAAAUGGUGUACAGGGUGCAGCUGAGGGCCUCCGGGAGGAAAUGACCCACAGUGCUUCCCAGAAGAAAUGACUCCGGUGGUGAUGAGAAGGAGCAGGUGUUCUCUCAGCAGGCGUGGGACAGCCUGGCAUCCUAGUGAUCAAAACAGGGAAAUGGCCAAAAAAGGGAAAGGAAGACUUUGGGGAACUUCAAGAAGUUUGGUGUGUCCCCAUCAGGCACAUCCAGGCCAGGCUCAUCUUCUAGAAACGCUGCUUUCAUCAUCACAUGACACACACAGUCCUUCCCCAUAGGAUGCACACUGCUUCCCGGGGUGCUUUCCUCUAAGCCGGUUCCAGUAUAGUCACUCUCUCAUUCUCGAGGAAAACUCGUUGUUUUCAAUUCCCCCACCCAGGGAGACUUAACUGCCUCCCAUCAAGGUGGUCUCCUCACCUGCCCACCAUAGGCUUCCCACCUGUGAGCUUGGUUCAAACGGGGGUCAUCCCACCAGCCCAGACAGCCCUUCCCCCUCCUCGAAUUCUGCCUCUUUCGUGGCUGCCAGUUUCUUCCAAAUUGGACCAUGAACUCUUUGAAGGAAGAACUCACUCAUUCAUUCCUUCAGCAAUAAUUUAUUGAUUGCCUACUCUGUACCAGGAACUGGAUCUUCACAAAAUCUAAUAAGAGGGGGUCACGGUGCCUAGUGGAAGCCCACCAAAUGCUUGACCCCAAAUGCUUGACUGUACAAAAGAAGAAACUUCUUUACACAAAGGGGUUUCUGGAGUUGUUAAAAUAUUUCAAUCAUUAACAACUUUUAUUUUGGGAAGCAAAGAGGCAUGUUUUAUUUUGAAUAUGUUGCAUUUUGUUUCUUUCAAGACAUCUUAAUAUGUUAUCUUACUCCUACCUGAGGCAGCCCAGAUGAAAUAUAUUGCAUUUUCUGGAUAAGCAAACUAAGGUGUCAGGGGAUUUAGGCUUGCCUCAAGUCACACAGGGGCUUCCCAGGUGGCUCAGUGGUAAAGAACCUGCCUGCCAAUGCAGGAGACAUAAGAAACCCAGGUUCGAUUCCUGGGUCGGGAAGAUUCCCUGAAAGAGGGCAUGGCAACGCACUCCAGUAUUCUUGCCUGGAGAAUCCCGUGGACAGAGGAGCCUGGUGUGCUGCAGUCCAUCAGGUCACUAAGAGUCGGACACUAAAACGACUUAACACGAACACACAAGUCAUACAGAUGAUCAAUGGAAGGAGCAGACUUGUUAUUUAGUUGCACUGAGUCUUCUGGUGGCUCACGGACUGUGUUGCCCCGCAGCAUGUGAGAUCUUAGUUCUCUGACCAGGGAUGGAAG
ensembl:lncRNA